rnacentral:rRNA from 1 species
UGCAGUCGAACGCGAAAGCGGGGGCAACUCCGCAAGUAGAGUGGCGAACGGGUGAGUAAUGCAUCGGAACGUGCCCAGUCGUGGGGGAUAACCAGUCGAAAGACUGGCUAAUACCGCAUGAGACCUGAGGGUGAAAGCAGGGGAUCCGCAAGGACCUUGCGCGACUGGAGCGGCCGAUGCCGGAUUAGCUAGUUGGUGGGGUAAAAGCCCACCAAGGCGACGAUCCGUAGCUGGUCUGAGAGGACGAUCAGCCACACUGGAACUGAGACACGGUCCAGACUCCUACGGGAGGCAGCAGUGGGGAAUUUUGGACAAUGGGCGCAAGCCUGAUCCAGCCAUGCCGCGUGAGUGAAGAAGGCCUUCGGGUUGUAAAGCUCUUUAGUCCGGGGCGAAAUCGCACGGGUGAACAUCCCGUGCGGAUGACGGUACCGGAAGAAUAAGCACCGGCUAACUACGUGCAGCAGCCGCGGUAAUACGUAGGGUGCGAGCGUUAAUCGGAAUUACUGGGCGUAAAGCGUGCGCAGGUGGUUUUUUAAGUCAGACGUGAAAUCCCCGGGCUUAACCUGGGAACUACGUUUGAAACUGGAAGACUCGAGUGUGGCAGAGGGGGGUGGAAUUCCUGGUGUAGCAGUGAAAUGCGUAGAUAUCAGGAGGAACACCGAUGGCGAAGGCAGCCCCCUGGGCUAACACUGACACUCAUGCACGAAAGCGUGGGGAGCAAACAGGAUUAGAUACCCUGGUAGUCCACGCCCUAAACUAUGUCAACUGGUUGUUGGGAGAG